rnacentral:lncRNA from 1 species
GGGUUAAUUAUGGUGUUGUAAGUCUUUUCAUAGGUGGACUUCCUAAACCAAUGGCCAAUGUAAUAUUCUGCAUUGAUGUUCAGAAAUUUCAUUGCAGUUAUGGCAUGCGUGCAAGGAAUGCCAGUAAUUGCCCAUUUUCUACAUGUGCAGUCCAUGGUCUCCACAUUGACAACAAAUUGGUGGCCAAAUUGUGAAAUAUGUAUAACUUCAAAUAAUUUCUCUCUUGACCACCUGUAUUUAACACAAAAUUUAGAACACAUUUAGGUGGAUCAAGAUAAAUGCCUAAAAUGAAUUGUCACAGAGUUUAUAAAACUUACCUUGGUAACCAAUAUCUACCUAACCAUGGCUCCUUCUGAAAUCUGUUCCAAACCUUAGGGCAGACUAAAGCUUGAUAUUG